rnacentral:ncRNA from 2 species
UAAAAAGAAUCAAGUAGUGCUUAUAUAGGUUCAUAAUCGGAUGGACGUCUCUACCAACUACCGGAAUAGUUGACUAUAAGUAUCUGCAAAGGGUAA